AACGAGUAAACACCUACAGGACGUCGUAAGGCGCUAAGUUUUAACCAUGAGUAUCUGGUCAGAUUAACAGUCAGCUAUGCUGCAGAAUUGCCAUGCUGAAUAAUUUCUGAACACAGAAAAGGGACCGCAAACAUUAUAAACUAAACCAUUCUCUGUAAAGUUACGUUGGAAGAUGGGCGGCUGCUCAAUGUGAUCCCGUUGGCGCUGCGAUCAGCUACAUGCUAAGCUAAGUGCUAAGCUAAGCGGCUAACGCUCCGGCUCUAGUGGACAUGGCAGCCGGAGCAGGAGCCGCUUCGGGGGGAUCCCUGGAGAACACCCUGGACAAGAAGUUCCGAGGGCUGAGCAACACCAUGGACUCUAUCCAGGGACUCUCGACGUGGUGCAUCGACAACAAGAAGUACCACAGCCUCAUUGUGCGGCAGUGGAUGAAGUGUCUGAGGAAAUCUGAUCCCUCGCACCGGCUCAACCUGCUGUACCUCGCCAACGACAUCAUUCAGAACUGCAAACGGAAAAAUGCCAUUUUUUACCGCACAGCGUUUGCUGAUGUCCUUCCUGACGCCAUCUUGCUGGUUAACCACGAGAGCGACCCGAAGGUGGUUAAAUCAGUGGAGAGGAUUCUGUCCAUCUGGGAGGAGAGGGAUGUGUAUUCAGGAGUACUUAUUACUGAACUUAGGGGUAUCUUGGUCAAAGAGGAUUCCCCUCCAGUGGAACAAAAAACUCCUGUUGAGUCCAAUGCGUAUCUGCGGUCCAAGAUUGUUGCCGAGUUUGUGCCCCAGGCACUCGUAGACCAACUCGCCAAAUAUAAGAAGUCCCUGGAGGAGGUGGAUCUCAGAGAAAAACAGCUGGCUGCCAUGAGGGUUGACAUCUUCAGCUCAGAUGCCCUCAAGAAACUCAAAGAUAAAGCAGGUGGAAAGAAGUUUUCCAAGGACUUUGAAGAGGGAAGUGCACAGCUACAGGAGUUUGUGAAGUUCUAUGAGAAAGAAAGCAAGGUCGGUCCUCCGGUCAUGGAGGCGCUGAGCAAUGCAGAUAUCUUCUACGAGAUGCAGUACAAGGAGGUCAAGAUCGUUGCAAAUGCCUACCAAACAUUUGCUAACCGGGUGUCCCACCUCAAGCGGAAGCUGGAUAACCUGAAGGCCACGUUGCCAGACCUGGACGAGUCUCCCAUCCCCUCUCCCUCUGCAGACGCACCGUCUCCCACGGGCUCAGAGUCUCCUUUCCACGGCCUUGAGUUGGCUCACCCUGAUCCAGAUCUGGAUGGUUCUGCUAUGGAUGAUGAAGCAGAACCACCAGCCCCGAGCCCCCUCUCCUCUCCGGGCGGAUCCCCCAAACACACAGAGAUCCUCGGGAACAAUGACAAUCGCGAGGUAGAGGACAUGGAGCUCUCUGACGAGGAAAUGGACAGUGUGGGCAUCAUAGUUCAGGAGCAGAUUGAACCAGUCCCCAUCCCGAAGCUGUCCACUCCAAACCCUGCUACAAGUGAACCUUCAGAAGUGGCAAAGCCAUCUCAGGUCACCGCCCCUGCCGUCAUCCCUGCAGCCAUCCGUGCAGCCCUCCAUGAGGCCGCCCCUGCAGUCAUCCGUGCAGCUGCUCCUGCAGCUGCUCCUGCAGCCAUCCCUGCAGUCAUCCCUGCAGGUAUCCGUGCAGCCGCUCCUGCAGCCGCUCCUGCAGCCGCUCCUGCAGGCAUCCGUGCAGCCAUCCCUUCAGUUAUCCCUGCAGCCAUCCGUGCAGCCGCCCCUGCAGCCGCCCCUCCAGCUGCUGCAGAGAGAGUUGACAUGGGUAAAAUAGGGUCUUUCUUCAACAGUUUUAACCCAGCCAUGAAAAACCCAGCACCAGUAUUGGAGAUUCCUCCUGCGUCUGCUCCCGUCAGCUCCUCCGUAAACACUACACCUGCUGCCCUUCUGGCCUCACAGGACCCCAGUUCACUGGUCAACCUCCUCUCCAAGGUGGACGUGAGUCCUGCAGAUAUCCUCAGUGCUCUGUCCAAAGUCCAGGGGCAAAGCAGAAUAGAGGGCAUCGGUUCUCUCCUGAACAGCCCAUCUUCAAAUGUCCCAGACUCCACCAGUACAGAGAAGAUUCCUCCUCCUGCCCCAUCCACUCCUGCAACAGCAGGACCGUCUCAGAGCUCCACUCCCUCCUUCGUAGCAGCCGUGCCUUCUUCUUCAAGCUCUGUAGUAGAGCCGAGAGCAAAGCCCCAAGCCCCCAUCCAGACCUCCAACAAGGCCUCCGCCCUAGUCCAGGCUCUCCAUAGAGACAUGGAUUUGACUACAGACGCAGAACCGUCUUAUUCCUCUACAAGUUUAGAGUCUAAAAUCCACAGCUUCUUGCAGGGGAACCCUGCCUUCAGUGCAUUUGAUGUCGGUUUUACCACAAAUCCACCUGCGGGAGGGGAGAACUUUAGCCCAGCGACCGGCACAGACACUCAGGGUGGGACCCCGGUCCGGGACGAGGGCGGGGGAACCCCGACUCAAGACGAGAUCAUGGACAAGCCAGUGGUGGUCCCUUUCACCGCUGGCCGAAACCAGCCGUCUGCUGGCCAAACUGCUAAAACGCUCUCAAUGGCGUUUGAGAAUAACGCCCAACAGAACCCCGGAAACCCCCAACAGCAGACACACUCGCAGCAGCCGGGCAAGGCUCAGAACGGCCAAGCGUACCAGCCGUACCCGUACGGCAAGCAGGAUCCACCGGGGCACGGCAUUCCUCCACCUCAUUACCAACAGAUUUCUGCCCAAACAAAGGUGGGCUUGCCUGGAGAAAGAGCUCCGGGCAGCGCCAGUGGCUUACAGACACCAGAGGGGUUUCAAGGGGCGAAUGAGAGAAACUGGUACGGUGGGAGUUACCCCGAGGGGAACCCUCAGCAGUCUGGGGGAUUCAAUGCCACAGUGCCUGGAGGAAUUAGAGAAAACAAGAUUUUAGAGCCUUAUCCCUACCAGGCAGAGCAGCCGCAGGAACCUAAAGAGUUCCUCUUCCAGCAGGAGUCCACCCCAACCUCUAGUUUCUUUAAAAACACCUUUCCUCCCGUCCCAAAGUUACCACCGCCCCCUCCUCCUGCUUUUGAGCUCCCGCCACCCUCUAUUUUUCUGCCGGAGCAGCGGCCGGUGCCCAGGACGGUCCCAGGGGGACCGCCGGGACCCCCGGGGCCCAGAGGGGACGGUGUCAUCCCCGGCAUGGUGGUUCACGACCACCAGCACAAGUCUCUGCUGCGUCCAGAAGAACCACAUUACAACAACGACCCCCACCUGCCCCCGCGGCGUCCCGAGGGCGCACCUCCUCCUCCUCACAGAGACAACUUUCACAACCAGGAGAACUUUGACGGCUACCACAACGAGCCCUACCAAAAUGACUCCAACCUGUUCCACGACGACCCCCACCACCCCCCCGAGGAUUCGUUUUACCGACCGGGCAGUCCCCCACACCCGUACCCCAGACCCCGAGGGCGCCUCACUCCUCCCAUCUCCCCGUCUAGGGAGCCCUACUUCCCCCACGGUUACCAGGGGCACGCUCCCUCUCCCCGGCAGUACCCGCCACGCCGCCCGCCUCCUCACGAGAUCCGUCACCCCGGCCCCGGCCCCGGCCCCGGCCCGAGACUCCUACACCGACCUCCCCACCAGCCGCCCCACCCACACCCCCGAGGACCGCCACGUAUGCCCUUCUCUCCGUUUCAAGGGCCCGAUAUGAGGCUGAGGGGCAAGCGGCCGGGCCCGAGAGGAGGGGGGCCCAUGUUCCCUCUGAAAAGACCCUUCCUACCUCCGCGAUACUGACGGGAGUCUCAGCUUUCAGCGUCAUGAAGAGGGGAGUGGGGAAGGACACUCAGCCAGGGGAGAGGGGGGUGAUAUAGCUGCAGAUUUUCAGGUAGCUAUGAGAAAACGGCUAUAAGAAAACAGUUACGGAAGAAGAAACUACCAGAGGAAUUGGGGAAGAACUGAUGCUGUGUAGAGGGACGUCAGAAACGAGACCAACACGAAGAGACAUAGAGAACACCGACGCUAUGAGAAGCUGAAAGAAGAUUCAAGAAACUAAGAGGCACCAGGGCUGUUUGAUGUGUGUGGUUUGACGGUUUCCCAGCGUGUUGGGGUGGGAGCGGAGGAUGAGGAGCUGCUCUGCCGCCGGAGGCGCCUCUUCCCCGGUGCGGCCGCUGCGCGUCACGGCCGCUGAGUAAGCUGCACUUUACUGGAUCAUAAAUCACAGUUGCGCGUUUGAGAGGAAAGCGGAGGAGGGUUGGACAGAGAGACCCGUGUGAGUAAGUACCAGGUAUCAGUAUCAGGUUUAACCCUGGUACUGUCUCUGGGUCAGAAUGACCUCAUUCUCCUGUUCUUCUUUCCUCCUGCUCUCUCCUUCCUUCCUUCCUUCCUUCCUUCCUCUUUUCUUCCUUCCUUCCUUCCUCUUUUCUUCCUUCCUUCCUUCCUCUUUUCUUCAUUCCUUCCUUCCUUUCUCUCUCCCUUCCUUCCUUCCUUUCUCUCCAUUCCUUCCUUUCUUCUUUUUUCCCUUCCUUCCUUCCUUCCUUCUUUCUUCCCUUCCUUCCUUCUUUUCUCCCUUCUUUCCUUCCUUCCUUCCUUCUUUUUUCACUUCCGUCUUUUUUCACUUCCUUCCUUCUUUUCUUCCUUCCUUCUUCCCUUCCUCCUCCCUUGACCCAAAGACAGCACAAGGGUUAAGCAUCUGAAGACAUGAGUGUUUGUUUUUAUUCCAUUUGUAAAAAUAAUUGUCAUUGUCCAUUAGAAUAUCUUUUUUUCUUUAACAAUAUAUUUUUUUUUAAGUUCAACAAGCAUAUCAUAACUUAUGGUAAAUUUACAAAUAUUUUCCACAUAUAUACACAUAUAUAUCCCCUCAACAAUCACACAAACACACAGACAGUAAAAAAAAAAGAAGAAUAACUACAGACAUCAAACUAAUAAAGUGCUGUAAAGUAAAAUAAAAAAAAAAUUAAUUAAAAGGCAGGAUCGGUACAUUCACAUCGCCAAGUUUUGUUAUUCAGUGUAAUCCAUUUCGUUGGUCAAGAAAGACAUAAAUGAGUCCCAAAUAUCUAUAAAUUCUGUCUGUUUACCCUGGACUAUAUAAUCAACCUCUCCAGUCCAAGACCUUCACCAGCUCUUUCUUCCAUAAUCCAAGUGAUUGGGGUUCAACGGUUUUCCAAUGUAGUGCAAUCAUUCUUCUUGCAUGGAGAAGUCCAAAAUCUGCCAUUUUUGAUUGCUUUGUCCUGUUGAUCGUGUCUUUGUAAAAUUAGAAUAUCAGUCUGUUGUCUGGUGAUUUCUUUGUGAUUUUACAGCCAGCCAGGUGGUGCCUACCUCAUAAAACUAUUUGUAUCCAUGAAAAAUGUUUCCAUGUAUCUCAGCAGAAAUUAGGAAAAGUAUUUUUCAAGUAAAUUGUUUUACAUUUUUUCAUUGGAUGUACUAACUUUAUAUGAAAAGCAAUUUUCUUAGAUAACAAGGUUAAGUGUUUAUGAUUUAUUCAUUGAAUUU